UAAACGGGGUUUAAAGCAUAUUACUGAGUGGAGGAAAAGAAACUAACAAAGAUUCCCCCAGUAAUGGCGAAUGAAGAGGGAACAGCUCAACUUGAAAAUCUCCGUUGUGUUGCAACGGCGAAUUGUAGUUUCGAGAAGUAAUUUCCCGGCGCAUCGAGUUUGGCUAAGUUGGUUGGAACAGCAUGUCAUAGAGUACGUGGCAAUGCCCGAGCCCUCGCGAUGUGCUUUCUAAGGGUCGGAUUGUUUGGGAAUGCAGCCCAAAACGGGUGGUAAACUCCAUCUAAAGCUAAAUACAAGCAUGAGACCGAUAGCGAACAAGUACGGUGAGGGAAAGAUGAAAAGGAGUUUGAAAAGAGGGUUAAUACGUACGUGAAAACGUUGAAAGGGAAGCGAAUGGAGUAAGCAAUUCGCCCUGCCAGGAUUCAGUUGCUCGCACAUAGCGACGUACGCGCCCUCGAUCUACAUGGACAAGACGACUUGUCGACGGGCGACAAGGACAGGAGGAAGGUGGACAGGACAUACCUAAUUUUAGUGUGCAGUGAUAACCAAUUUGUGCAGUGAUAAAAGUAAAAUGUGCAGUGAUAAAUUGUAAAAUGUGCAGUGAUAAAAUUUGCUUUGAUAAGUUGUUAAUUAACACAA